AGAAUUUCAUGUCUUUUGUAUUAAAGAAUUAAAUGGAUGAAAUAUGAAGUUUUAUUAAAAGAAAAAGGGGUGAAAAGAACAAAGUUUUGUCCAUCUUUGUUCAUCAUAGCUGAAAGUUAGAGAAGAGAAAGGAGAGGAGAAAGCUCUUGAGUAUUCGGUCAUUAGGAGGAGGAAAAUUGAAGGAAAUCCCCAACCAUAGUGGGCUUGGAGCUGUGAGGGAAUUCGGAGUGGCCACCCAUUCUGAAAGUUUGAUUUUCUUCUGGUGAACUGGACAUCCUUUUAUUUACGUUUGAAUUUUUUUGGGCUUUUAAAUGUAAUAAGGCCGCUUAAUUAUUUUUGAUGGUUUUAAUAUGUAUUACUAAGAUAGGUAAUACUUAUUUUAACUGUUGAAAUUGGAUAGCUUUAGGGCGCGUUUUCAAAAAACAACAA